AUGAAGAACAUGAAGAACGCAGCGAAAUGCGAUAAUUAAUGUGAAUUGCAGAAUUCCGUGAAUCAUCGAGUUUUUGAACGCACAUUGCGCCCCCUGGCAUUCCGGGGGGCAUGCCUGUCCGAGCGUCAUUUCUGCCCUCCAGCACGGCUGGGUGUUGAGCGCUGUCCCCCCGGGGACACGCCCCAAAGGCAGUGGCGGCGCCGCAUCGGGUCCUCGAGCGUAUGGGGCUUUGUCACCCGCUCGGGAGGGACUCGUCGGCGCUGGUCUUCCCCCAAGGCGAAACCCUUCGGGGUCCGUCUUCUUUCCGGUUGACCUCGGAUCAGGUAGGGCUACCCGCUGAACUUAAGCAUAUCAAUAAGCGGAGGAAAAGAAACCAACAGGGAUUGCCUCAGUAACGGCGAGUGAAGCGGCAAGAGCUCAAAUUUGAAAUCUGGCUCCUUCGGGGCCCGAGUUGUAAUUUGGAGAGGAUGCUUCGGGUGUGGCCCCCGUCUAAGUGCCCUGGAACGGGCCGUCAUAGAGGGUGAGAAUCCCGUCUGGGAUGGGUGGUCCCGCCCGUGUGAAGCUCCUUCGAAGAGUCGAGUUGUUUGGGAAUGCAGCUCUAAGAGGGUGGUAAAUUUCAUCUAAAGCUAAAUAUUGGCCGGAGACCGAUAGCGCACAAGUAGAGUGAUCGAAAGAUGAAAAGCACUUUGAAAAGAGAGUUAAACAGCACGUGAAAUUGUUGAAAGGGAAGCGUUGGCAACCAGACUCGCCCGGGAGGGCUCAGCCGGCACGUGUGCCGGUGCACUCCCCCCCGGGCGGGCCAGCGUCGGUUUGGGCGGUCGGUCAAAGGUCUCGGGAACGUAGCACCCUC
rnacentral:rRNA from 1 species